AGAGCCAAGGGAAGACACUGUGCCCUGAGCCACAGAAAUUCUUUUCAGACAAUGGUACUUAAAGGCAUUAGAGAGGAUUUUUCCCAGAAACUAAGUUGCCACAUUCAACCAAAAUGACUUCAUUGAUCGGUGGCACUCUUGUAAUUAUGGUUCCAAAAAAAAAAAAUUAAUAUCCAUAAACUGUGGCCGUGGUGGGGCCUGUAAAACAUUAGCCAAUCGACUUGAACAUUGCUCUUAAGUCGAUUGGCUACUAGUCUGUCAAUCAAACAUUUUGCGUAAGCGCCCCCGAUACGUAAUUUACCUAGGCUCCAAGCGUAAGCAGUCCGCCAUUACCCCGCAAGACAAAGACGAAGGAAGCGACGAGCUAGUUCUGUCGUUGUGGUCUUGGGAACUUUUGAAGAAAUGGCAGAAAAGAACCCUGAAAAACCUAACCGAAAAAGAAAGCCUAUGUCUGAGGUGAUUGAACGGAGGAGAGAAAGUCAGAGAAAGCGGAGCGAACAACUAUCUGUGUAGGAGAUUCUUUUGAGCGCUGGCAUGCGCUAAAUAAUCUUAAAACGGAUGCUUUGGUCGCGAAACUUCUGCUGGACAGCUAUGACAAUAUUAUGUCCACACCAUUAACUCAUGGUCUAUGGGUGAGACCCCAGCCUCCUGUAUCCAGUAUAAUGCAGGAGUCACUCACAGACAGAGAUGCUGAUUUCUCUGUCAAAGGUGUCGAGAA
rnacentral:lncRNA from 1 species